rnacentral:rRNA from 1 species
UACGUAGGUGGCAAGCGUUAUCCGGAAUUAUUGGGCGUAAAGAGCUCGUAGGUGGUUUGUCACGUCGUCUGUGAAAUUCCGGGGCUUAACCUCGGGCGUGCAGGCGAUACGGGCAAUACUUGAGUGCUGUAGGGGAGACUGGAAUUCCUGGUGUAGCGGUGAAAUGCGCAGAUAUCAGGAGGAACACCAAUGGCGAAGGCAGGUCUCUGGGCAGUUACUGACGCUGAGGAGCGAAAGCAUGGGUAGCGAACAGGAUUAGA